AUUGAACGCUGGCGGCAUGCCUUACACAUGCAAGUCGAACGGCAGCACGGGAGCAAUCCUGGUGGCGAGUGGCGAACGGGUGAGUAAUAUAUCGGAACGUGCCCAGUCGUGGGGGAUAACGUAGCGAAAGCUACGCUGAUACCGCAUACGAUCUAUGGAUGAAAGCGGGGGAUCGCAAGACCUUGCGCGAUUGGAGCGGCCGAUAUCAGAUUAGGUAGUUGGGGGGGUAAAGGCUCACCAAGCCGACGAUCUGUAGCUGGUCUGAGAGGACGACCAGCCACACUGGGACUGAGACACGGCCCAGACUCCUACGGGAGGCAGCAGUGGGGAAUUUUGGACAAUGGGCGCAAGCCUGAUCCAGCAAUGCCGCGUGCAGGAUGAAGGCCUUCGGGUUGUAAACUGCUUUUGUACGGAGCGAAAAGGCUUCCACUAAUACUGGGGGCUCAUGACGGUACCGUAAGAAUAAGCACCGGCUAACUACGUGCCAGCCGCCGCAGUAAGAC
rnacentral:rRNA from 1 species